rnacentral:rRNA from 1 species
CGGAGCUAACGCGUUAAGUCGACCGCCUGGGGAGUACGGCCGCAAGGUUAAAACUCAAAUGAAUUGACGGGGGCCCGCACAAGCGGUGGAGCAUGUGGUUUAAUUCGAUGCAACGCGAAGAACCUUACCUGGUCUUGACAUCCACGGAAGUUUUCAGAGAUGAGAAUGUGCCUUCGGGAACCGUGAGACAGGUGCUGCAUGGCUGUCGUCAGCUCGUGUUGUGAAAUGUUGGGUUAAGUCCCGCAACGAGCGCAACCCUUAUCCUUUGUUGCCAGCGGUCCGGCCGGGAACUCAAAGGAGACUGCCAGUGAUAAACUGGAGGAAGGUGGGGAUGACGUCAAGUCAUCAUGGCCCUUACGACCAGGGCUACACACGUGCUACAAUGGCGCAUACAAAGAGAAGCGACCUCGCGAGAGCAAGCGGACCUCAUAAAGUGCGUCGUAGUCCGGAUUGGAGUCUGCAACUCGACUCCAUGAAGUCGGAAUCGCUAGUAAUCGUGGAUCAGAAUGCCACGGUGAAUACGUUCCCGGGCCUUGUACACACCGCCCGUCACACCAUGGGAGUGGGUUGCAAAAGAAGUAGGUAGCUUAACCUUCGGGAGGGCGCUUACCACUUUGUGAUUCAUGACUGGGGUGAAGUCGUAACAAGGUAACCGUAGGGGAACCUGCGGUUGGA